UUGCCAGACUCCUACGGGAGGCAGCAGUGAGGAAUAUUGGUCAAUGGGCGGAAGCCUGAACCAGCCAAGUCGCGUGAGGGAAGAAGGCCCUGCGGGUCGCAGACCUCUUUGGACGGGGAGCAAGGCCGCCGACGUGUCGGCGGAAGGAGAGUACCCGUAGAACAAGCAUCGGCUAACUCCGUGCCAGCAGCCGCGGUAAUACGGAGGAUGCGAGCGUUAUCCGGAUUUAUUGGGUUUAAAGGGCGCGCAGGCGGCCCGGCAAGCCGGCGGUCAAAUCGCGGGGCUCAACCCCGCCCAGCCGUCGGAACUGCCGGGCUAGAGUGGGCGAGAAGUGCGCGGAAUGCGUGGUGUAGCGGUGAAAUGCUUAGAUAUCACGAAGAACUCCGAUUGCGAAGGCAGCUCACUGGACUGCAACUGACACUGAGGCUCGAAAGUGUGGGUAUCAAACAGGAUUAGAUACCCGUGUAACC
rnacentral:rRNA from 1 species